AACACGUUCAGAAUUUAUUGCAAGUGAACUGACAAAAUAUAGAUUCUGUACUUGUGAACUAUUUCGCACUAAUGCAAUUUGGGGAGACGAUAUGCACUGCACACUGCCCCGAAUAUGGAUUACCUAACCAAGCGUAUAACUUUUUCGCAAAACGCACAGGCCUAGUUUAAGGGCCUCACAGGGAUUGGUAUCAAAAGAUCAAUUAUAACACACAAUUAAUAUAUAGCCUAUAAUGUUCCUUAUUCUAGAAGUGAGAGGGUCAAAUUUAGAUUUUUUUUCAUUGUUGUAAUACGAUUGGCCUAGAAAUUAUGACUAGUCAGCAAAACAACUUUUCCAACACUGAUCUACUGCUUUUACAUGAAUUCAUAUCAAGUCCAUAUGUUUUCUACAUGUGACAUGUGGGCUUAAAUCUCCAUGACAGGCCUACAUGUGUUCUUCUCAACAUUUAUCAGACCUACAUCUUGGAAAUAGUCUGGAAAUGGCCCAUAAAAAAAACGUCUUCAUGCAAAGAUGCAAUAACUUUUAUGACAUCUCUUAACAGUCUACUUGGGAAUACUUUGUACGUCUAAGACAAAAGUUCAAUUCAACUGAGGGGGAGAAAAGUCUAUCUUCUAAUAUGCUUAAAGUGCGUUAGUCAUAAAAGUAGCAGUGAAGUCAGUUACCAAAUUAGCGGCAGACAUAUUUUCACCAGCCGAAUGCCAUAGUCUACAUACCCCACUAGUGAAUUUAGCAUCUAUUCCCUAAAUGCUUUACGUAAUUAAUAUUAGGAAUGCUGAUGGUGACGUCUACAUGCUCAAAUGACACCUAGGUAAGACAUAUGCUGAAGCAUGUGUUUUAUUUCAAGAUGAAUGCAAUACUAUCUAAUUAUUAUAUAUCGAAGUAUAAUGAUCAUUGCCAUAGUACUCUCUACUAUUUAGGCCUACUAUCUCACCAUCUGACUAACAUCAAUACAUUUCUUUACAGUGCUGUUUUUUUUACAGUUUAAGUAGGCGGUGUUCUUCUCUCUCCUUUAAAACAGACUUUGUUUAUACAAGCCUGCCAUUUUAAGCUACAGUUGUGACAAAGCUGCGGCUGCGGCUAUUUUACACAUCAGUGUACUUAUUUGAACACUUAAUUCGUUUGCUAUCGUCAGUAUAAGGACAAAAGACAAUAAACCUUGAAGAUUAGCAUUUGUCAAACAUUAUCUUCUAACUGGAGAAAUGAUAGAUCAUCUUGAAAAUUCACCUCAAGCGUGAACUGAGUUUUCGAGUUUAAAAACGGAAUCAACUAGAUUACACCCUCAAACUAAGUGAGACGUUAUCAUUAACUUCCCUAUUGCUCUGUUUCAGGUCAUUUUAAGAUAUAUGUAGGCCUAUGCUGAUGUACAUCCUACCACCAUAAAGAUGAAAUGACUAACUACAAAACUAAACCAAAAACAUUGCAUGACACAGCUCCUCCUCAAUACCAACCAGGAGAACAGUCAGUAUGAGUGUGAGAGUGUAGAGUGCCUAAGUAGGAAGGUUUGGGAGGCUGGUAACACAGGCCUGGAUUGAAUAAGCACCAUGGCUAUGCUAGACAUCUGGGAUAUCCACCAAGAGUGUUGAUUUAAGUUGGGAUAUAAACAGUGCUCGCUGCCUGCCAAGCCUUUCUCAAUGGCAUUUUAUAUUGUUCCAGGUCCAGUCAAACUCAUCUCGCGACUUGCAAUAGUCUUUGUAAUCACUUUAACUAGACCAUAUCAGUCUCUAACACAGGCUGCAGCUGUAACUAGGCCCGGGCCUACACUACAUGUGUGAGCAUAUGCCAGGGAAUGCUUGUUCAAGGUAUGUCAGGUCAUUGGAUUCGUUCGUCGAGUUUCCAACUGAAACACAGCAAUUCGAAAGCCAUAACGUAUGUAAUAUAUUGUCAAUACGAAGUAAUUGUGAAUACAGCAAACUCCUCUAAUUCAAAUGGCCUAGGUUGUGUUUACCUUGUCUGCUACAGUAAAGCUGAAGAGCUAAUGAACUAGACUAGGGACCCUUCUGAGAAAGACUGAAGCUCUGAACUCAUUCAACCCCCUUUAAAAUGCCUGCGCUAAUCCCAAUAAAACUCAGCCAUUAUAAAUACACAAUUCAUAAAUUGCUUUGUGUGAAAUAUGCAACCCUCUAACCCCAUCCAUUUAAACUCAAAAGUCUCAUGUGUUGGCCUAUCGACAGGCUGGUUGGUUCUUCUUUCGCCUCUGUUUGUUGUUCCGAAUGAUCCAGCCACGGUUCUGAUGGUACCCAACUAAUCAAAGCUGUGAACCCACUCCUCAGCCAGUCAACGCCACGGUUCAAUCUCCAAAAAGUUGGAACAGACGUAAGAGAGAGGGAGAAAGAGAGAGGGAGGGAGAACGAGAAAAAGGCAGCAAGAAAAGUGAGGGACUUUUAGGGGCAGCUGUGUUUUAUUAACCCAGUCAUAAUGCCCCUAAAAAUCCUUAUUGCUCUUGCAAUGGUCAACAGAAUCUCCUAUAAGAACAAGUCUCUGUGUUAUGGGCGACACGCUCUUAUGGACAUAUUACAAGCUCUAUUAAAUCCAUUGGUCACAUUGUCAAGUCCCUGAAAGAUGUUCAGACAGUCUUGAAUCAAGUUGGAGGGCAUUGAAAAUUGAAUGGAAAAUGCUUAUUUGUUAUUCCCAACUGACGCAUUUCGACAUUACGGCCGUCGUCAGGGUGCUUUCCUAACUUGUCAAUGAAUUAGUCAAACAAAUCUAGUUAGAUGCAACUCUGCCCUCAGACGUUCUUAUCCGAAGUUCACGGCUCGUUCAAGGUGCUACAUCACGAUACAGCAACAGUUCCAACCUAGACAGAUAUGUAAGAGAGUUUUUAAUGGGGGAAAAAGAAACAGAAAUAGAUAUUUAAUUUAAUUGUUAUUUGUUUUUGUUUAUAUUGCAUUUGUUUUUAGGCAUAAGGGCAAUGAAAUGUACCAAUAUUUACGUAUAGUUGCAUGUUUUCCUAAACUUGGGUCCCAGGAAAACAUAGAAUUUCUCAUUUGGGUCCCAGGCUGAAAAAGUUGAAGAACCCCUUCUUUAGAUGAGUGGGAUGAUUCAAGAUCAGAGCACACUUUGCCCAGACAGAACUAUAGACAUCUUCACUAAUGAUAGCUAUGCGCCUAUGGAACCCUGACCUGUUCACCGGACGUGCUACCUUGUCCCAGACCUGAUGUUUUCAACUCUCUAGAGACAGCAGGAGCGGUAGAGAUACUCUGAAUGAUCGGCUAUGAAAAGCCAACUGACAUUUACUCCUGAGGUGCUGACCUGUUGCACCCUCUACAACCACUGUGAUUAUUAUUAUCUGACCAUGCUGGUCAUUUAUGAACAUUUGAACAUCUUGGCCAUGUUCUGUUAUAAUUUCCACCCGGCACAGCCAGAAGCGGAUUGGCCACCCCUCAUAGCCUGGUUCCUCUCUAGGUUUCGGCCUUUCUAGGGAGUUUUUCCUAGCCACCGUGCUUCUACACCUGCAUUGCUUGCUGUUUGGGUUUUAGGCUGGGUUUCUGUACAGCACUUUGUGAUACCAGCUGAUGUAAGAAGAGCUUUAUAAAUACAUUUGAUUCAAUUUGAUUGAUAAUGAUAGCUAUGUACCCUGCAGGUUGGCAGGAUGUCAUUAUCUCCCCAGUCUCCAUUGUUUAACAUGCAGACAAGUGAGCUAUAUGUCCUUACGUUUCUUGACUUUGCGCCAAAGGCCAGACAGAGAGACGUUCGAAGGAUUCUGAUCUGAUCCGGGUUGUGGUGUGGUGGGGUUGGAGAACUGUCUGAGAGGUGGAGGCUGGCUGGAGGAGGAGACGGAGAGGAGUGCUCCUCCGUGGGAGAACUGUCUGAGAGGUGGAGGCUGGCUGGAGGAAGAGACGGAGAGGAGUGCUCCUCCGUGGGAGUGAGUCAUCGCCUUCGGAGGCUAUUCAGUGAGUUCACUCUGGGAGGAUCGUGAUCCUUCGGUUGGUCGGUGAAUCCGCCGUCCUCCUCGCCACAGCCAGAGAGGGGCUGGGAAGGAAAGUGUGGGGGCCUGGCUGGGCUGAUGACUCAGGGCCACGCACCGCACAAGGAGUGAGGGAGGAGGGGAGGGAGGAAUUACUCAGCUGUAUGAGAUUCCACAUGCUCUAUCACAGGACAGACACUGUGCUUCUACUAGGCUCUGAGGCUCUGUAGAAGUCUGUUCUUAGACAGAGUGGUAAUGGCAGUGGUAAGACGGCUAAGGGCCAUUGGUUUCCAUUGAAGAGGAACAGAACAGAGAAGUAUAUUCUCGUACUCGCACUUUGAAACAAAGUCAUGCCCCCCUUCUUAUUGAAUGAAUUACGUCUUUCUAUUACAGCAAGUCGGUGCAGGUUUGAAGCUCUGCAACUCCAGCAAAGUAAUUAAGCAUUGCAUGCUGUCAAAAUAUUCCAUUACAAAAGUCUUGAAGAUUUGGGAAGUGUCUCCGAUGACUAUCUAGAUGCGAGGGGGAGGUGAGUUGGGCCGUUUAUUGUCCAGUUCUUCCUGUUUCUUUCUUGAGUGAUGAUGCUCCUCCUCCAGCUCUGUCAUUGGAGAAAUCCUUUCAAAUAACAAAGCUUCAUUGAGUGAUGAUGACAAACAUUUCCAGAAAGAGAAUGUGAGUGAUGAGAGAACUACCUGUGUGACAUGCAAUACGGACUCUCUAUGCGCCCCCCUCUAGUGUGAGUCAUCAGGCCUAAAGACGCCGGGCUGUGAGUGGUGAAUCAGGUGUUGAUAAUGGCCGACAGGUGGAGGCUGGUGUGUGUUGGGUGUGUGUAUUGUGUGCAGUGUGUGCAUGUAUUGUUGCGUGCAUGUAUUGUGUGAUGUGAGUGUGGAGGGAGGUUAUGAUGUGUGUGUCUCCAUGAAGGGGGGUUGAUGUUGUGUGAUGCAUGACUCAACAGGAGAGAAGGCCACACCCAUGGGACGAGCCCAGGCUCCCUUCAGCGGUGGCAUGGGCCUAGAUCUCACUGACUAUGGGUGCCAUGGUUAAAGUGUAUUGGCCUAACUGAUGGCGCUCAAACACUUGAAGAGCCACUCAAAUCCUGCACAAACACUCCGACACAAAGGCAGAGAGGCUGGGCGAGAAAGUGGAGCACACCUUCACCUCCGCUGUAUCCCCCUUUAUAAAUAAACUCUUCCAACCUGAUUUCAGCCAACCAGCUACUGAGAGUCUGGGCCCGUAUUCACAAAGCGUCUCAGAGUAGCAGUGCUGAUCUAGGAUCAGGUUCCCCCUGUCCAUACAAUCAUAUUCAUUAUGAUCUAAAAGGCAAAAAACUGAACCUAGAUCUGCACUCCUACUCUGAGACACUUUAUGAUAGGGACAACCCAGAGUAAACAGAACGACUUAACCAUGUGUUGCAUCUCCAUAAUGGUAAUUUCCUCCAGUAAUUACUAAUCAUUAAAGGUCUCACUCCCAAUCACCUGGUUAGUGUUUAUAAUACGGUCUGCCUUGGUAAAUUCCCAUCAUUCUGAAAUAGCCUGAUUGUGUUUAAUUGGAGCAUUCACUAAACAGAGUCCACCCACCAGCAUCAACAAAUCCAAUGUAUUUUAACAGCAGGGAACAAUUUAAUCCGCCUCCAUAUAUCACCAUUGUAAACAACCAAGACGCAGAGCCCAAUGUUGCACAAUGAGCCUGAGUUGAGGAGGAGGAAGAGUUGAAAGGUCAGGUAAACACUUGUCCCAGGCUUUCCCUGCCUUUUUAAUCAGGACUCCUGUCCAUUUCUAUCUUGGUUAGAUCUCUUGACUUAUGGCUGUGUACACUAAUGCUGCACUUCUGGCGGCUCCUUAACUCACUGUUUGGUUUGUUUCAUAUGGACGGGAAUGUCAAGUUGCUUGUUGGCCUGGAGGCUUGUGCGCUGAGUCGCCGACAAAGCAUGGAAUGAAUCCUUUGCAGGCUAAUGGGCGGGCCAACCUUUUCCAGUGUUUGUCAUGAGUGGUUUACCAGAUGGCUUCCAUGGUGUUUCUCAACCUCCACCAAAUAGGGAAUUGCCAUUGACAGCAAGUAAACAACCAGAACACCAACUGCCGCCAAUGUAAACACCUUAAGGUAGCAUGUGCCUCAGCUACAUUCAAAACUUCAGCAGCAGUUGUCAGGCUGGGUUAAAGGUCAUGAAGCAUCCAGUGACGGGUGGAAAUGAAGACCACACAGCUUGAAGAGAUCAGGUUGAAGAGGGAGGACAUAUUUAACUUGUGGGUCAUAGGUCAAAGGCUGAACUCUCUCCCUCUACCUUUCCAUCUCCGCUGCUCUCUUUCACUCUCACCUUUCUCCUUCCCUCUUUCUAUCACCCCACCUCUCUCUCUCUUUCUUUACCUACAUGUAUACUCCUCUCUUUUCCUCUUCUGACCCCCCCUCUUUCUCCUUCAUUCUCACCCUCUCUCUCAGCCUGGCUGUUAUUUCUCCAUGUGUUUUGACUAUGUGCUACCUGAGCUGGUCUGUGCUGUGGGCCUGUGGCAGGUCUCUGGCAGGCAGCAGUGUCAAGUUGGAGGGAGGCUUGGUGGUCUGUGUGUGACAUGGAGAAAGGCCCACCGGCACCGCAGCAGCCCCGCUGAGGCCAGGUCUACAGCUGUCCCACCCUGCCAGGGCCUCUGCUUACAGUCACUAAUCUCAUGCAACAAUUACCGGAUGGAAUGCUCCUUGGUCCACAGGAGAGGAUGGAUGGAGAGAAGACGGAUGGAGACUAAAGAUGGAUGGAUAGAGGAUAGAAACUAGAGAUGGAUGGAGAGAGACUAGAGAUGGAUUGAGAGAGGCGUGGGUGUGGAUAAAUGGCAACCCAGACCAUACACACCCACUCACAGGGACCUAACACCACUCACAGGACUGCUGCUUGGUCCACUGCUACCACAUGCUAAAACACUUAGAUACAACACACACACACACACACACACACACACAAGAUAGCAAAAUGCUCAAUGUGACGUUCACAUUCAAAAUACAUUCCCGAGACACAGACUACCAGUCAGAGACAUAAACACACGUUAUUGUGUGUGUUGUUGCCAUGCGAUGGUGAUGAGCAGCACAUGACAUGAAUGGGGCGUGGAGCCCAACCUCGUAUCAGACAAAGGAGAUACACAGAGAGGAGGGAAGGGGAGAAAAGGAGAGGAGGAGGGUAAUGGGGUAGGAGGGGGGAGAGGAAGGGGACGUGCCGCCCCAGACUGCAGUCAUGAGGUCUCCAUCCCGUUCGACACGCCGAGUCUCGUGGGUAAAAGGCCAUAAAAACAAAAACUUUGCAAUAUAGCUAAAACCCCCCUCACAUACAGUCAAGAGUUACAACACACACACACAGGAACCGGACUGCGUAGAUCAAUGCCAUUCGCCCCGGGAGUACCCCUUUGGCUUUGAGUUGAGGAAGUCCAGACAAGCUAUUUCACACACGCUGUUCAUGUGAUCCCAUAAAUUCACUUCCUUUUCUGUAUGUCUUGACCGAAAAGUUGCAUUUGUCAAUAAAAUGUUUGAUUUGCAAGUA